CAUGAGCUACUGAAUUUAAGACCUAUGUUAGUUAAUCUAGGACCUAAGAUAGUUAAG
rnacentral:sRNA from 1 species